UACGUAGGUGGCGAGCGUUGUCCGGAUUUACUGGGCGUAAAGGGAGCGUAGGCGGACUUUUAAGUGAGAUGUGAAAUACCCGGGCUCAACUUGGGUGCUGCAUUUCAAACUGGAAGUCUAGAGUGCAGGAGAGGAGAAUGGAAUUCCUAGUGUAGCGGUGAAAUGCGUAGAGAUUAGGAAGAACACCAGUGGCGAAGGCGAUUCUCUGGACUGUAACUGACGCUGAGGCUCGAAAGCGUGGGGAGCAAACAGGAUUAGAUACCUCCGUA
rnacentral:rRNA from 1 species